UCCUCAGCUUCCACCGACCUGACGGAGAAUGGAAUUACCCUCGCUGAAGACCCAGAUUCAACAGCGCCCUCUCUCGCCGAGUUCCACAGUGCUUUCCAGGUUGUGUUUGUCGACCCCUCUGGACACCUCAACAUGUGCGCCGACAUGACCAGCUGCACCUACAAUCAGGAUCAGUACGAGGCGUCGCUGUCACUGCAGUUUUGGGACGACCCCACUGUGGAUGGAUUCCACGCCCUACUCAUGAUCCCCAAGCCCAUUAUUAGGACCAGUGACCAUGUCUUCCACUGUGUGAGGUGGUGAAACUGCAGUGCUGCUGUAAGAAGCUCGACCUCCUCGGUGAACUCAUGGACCACAGCGGAAACUACGUCCUCACUGUGCUCCCCUUUAUCCUCUCCCUCCUGCAACGAGGACUAAGCCAAAGGGUCUGCCUCCUCACCCACUCCCUGACCCCCUGAGGUGAGCAUUCUCCUGCCUGUAGGGCUGUUGACUGGAACAGGCUGAUUCAGUACUUUUUUAGAGAGAACUGUUUUCUUGAUAAAAUUCUGAGUGGGUAUUCUGGCUGACGUGUGUAACGGUGGUCGGUGGAGAGUGAAGCUCUGAAGCACAAUGCCCAGCCGCCCCUGUCCUUUGGCCUGCUGCUCAACCCAGAACAGGAUGCAUCUGUACUGGAGAGAGGACCCCCUCCAGCUGGCAGCUGAACGUACCUCAACUCCUAAUCACUGAUC